ncrna:Arthrospira maxima CS-328 HNH endonuclease-associated RNA and ORF (HEARO) RNA
GUUGACCACCAGCUAUUAACUCUUGCAUAAAAUCCGGUAAUUUCCGGCAGGAGCCGGAAAUUACUCCUCACAGAGUCUGCAAGAUGCAGGUCUAGGAUUAGACCUACGUUAAGGGGGUGAUGACACCCACAGGUGAACGCCAGCCUGUUGCUCUGUCGUCUAUCUUUAAGGAAUGAGAUGAGUGGAUUGGCAAUCUCGAGUGAGCUAGACGUAAAAAGCCCCUUUAACAUGACCGAGGCAAACAUUAC